UACGGAGGGUGCAAGCGUUGCUCGGAAUUACUGGGCGUAAAGGGCGUGUAGGCGGUUUCGUAUGUCUGGCGUGAAAGCCCCGGGCUCAACCCGGGAAGUGCACUCGAUACUGCGUGGCUUGAGUACUGGAGAGGUUGGUGGAAUUCUCGGUGUAGAGGUGAAAUUCGUAGAUAUCGAGAGGAACACCGGUGGCGAAGGCGUCCAACUGGACAGAUACUGACGCUGAGACACGAAAGCGUGGGGAGCAAACAGG
rnacentral:rRNA from 1 species